rnacentral:rRNA from 1 species
GACGAACGCUGGCGGCGUGCUUAACACAUGCCUUUCGAACGGAAAGGCCCUGCUUUUGGGGGGUGCUCGAGUGGCGAACGGGUGAGUAACACGUGAGUAACCUGCCCUUGACUUUGGGAUAACUUCAGGAAACUGGGGCUAAUACCGGAUAGGGGCUCCUGCUGCAUGGUGGGGGUUGGAAAGUUUCGGCGGUUGGGGAUGGACUCGCGGCUUAUCAGCUUGUUGGUGGGGUAGUGGCUUACCAAGGCUUUGACGGGUAGCCGGCCUGAGAGGGUGACCGGCCACAUUGGGACUGAGAUACGGCCCAGACUCCUACGGGAGGCAGCAGUGGGGAAUAUUGCACAAUGGGCGGAAGCCUGAUGCAGCAACGCCGCGUGCGGGAUGACGGCCUUCGGGUUGUAAACCGCUUUCGCCUGUGACGAAGCGUGAGUGACGGUAAUGGGUAAAGAAGCACCGGCUAACUACGUGCCAGCAGCCGCGGUGAUACGUAGGGUGCGAGCGUUGUCCGGAUUUAUUGGGCGUAAAGGGCUCGUAGGUGGUUGAUCGCGUCGGAAGUGUAAUCUUGGGGCUUAACCCUGAGCGUGCUUUCGAUACGGGUUGACUUGAGGAAGGUAGGGGAGAAUGGAAUUCCUGGUGGAGCGGUGGAAUGCGCAGAUAUCAGGAGGAACACCAGUGGCGAAGGCGGUUCUCUGGGCCUUUCCUGACGCUGAGGAGCGAAAGCGUGGGGAGCGAACAGGCUUAGAUACCCUGGUAGUCCACGCUGUAAACGGUGGGUACUAGGUGUGGGGUCCAUUCCACGGGUUCCGUGCCGUAGCUAACGCUUUAAGUACCCCGCCUGGGGAGUACGGCCGCAAGGCUAAAACUCAAAGGAAUUGACGGGGCCCCGCACAAGCGGCGGAGCAUGCGGAUUAAUUCGAUGCAACGCGUAGAACCUUACCUGGGUUUGACAUGGAUCGGGAGUGCUCAGAGAUGGGUGUGCCUCUUUUGGGGUCGGUUCACAGGUGGUGCAUGCCUGUCGUCAGCUCGUGUCGUGAGAUGUUGGGUUAAGUCCCGCAACGAGCGCAACCCUUGUUCACUGUUGCCAGCACGUUAUGGUGGGGACUCAGUGGAGACCGCCGGGGUCAACUCGGAGGAAGGUGGGGAUGACGUCAAGUCCUCAUGCCCCUUAUGUCCAGGGCUUCACGCAUGCUACAACGGCUGGUACAGAGAGUGGCGAGCCUGUGAGGGUGAGCGAAUCUCGGAAAGCCGGUCUCAGUUCGGAUUGGGGUCUGCAACUCGACCUCAUGAAGUCGGAGUCGCUAGUAAUCGCAGAUCAGCAACGCUGCGGUGAAUACGUUCCCGGGGCU